ensembl:lncRNA LINC01673 long intergenic non-protein coding RNA 1673
GUAGGCUACCAUUUCUUUUGGCUUAUUACAAAACAACAGGAUGCUGCAGCUUUAUCAAAGUCUACUUAUUUGUCCACUAAAAGUUUAUGGCUAUACGUUUCCAACUAGAACAUCUGAACACCAAUAUAUGGAAUUCUGACAAAGUUAAAACCAGGAAGAGAUCCUAUGAAGGCUGACAUUUUGUACAUCUGUUUUAUAGAACAAUAAAAAUAAGAAGAACAAGAAUAAGAACAGCAACAACAUUUGCAAUUCUGUAGGUCAAGAAUUCAGUGUGCCAGCAGGAAUGGCUUGUUUCUGAUUCAUGGUAUCUGGUGACUUAACAGGCAAGAUUUCAAUUGCUAGGAGUAACUGCAACCUAGAAUCAUCUGGAUACUUUUUCAUAUACAUGUCUGACAAAACCAGAUUGGGAGGAUUCAAAGACCAGGCUCAGGCCACUGUCUAGACCACAGGAAACCUGGUCAACAACAUAUGGGAUGUCACCAGAUUCAGACUCAGAAGUUUCCAUAAUGCCGUUGCCAACAGCUAGACACAAGAGAGUACUCUAUCUGUGUUCUUGAGUGGAGAUGAUGAAGAUUAGAACUAUACCUGAGUUGUGAUGAACAUGGAAAGUGAUUUGGAGAGUUGCACUUUUCUUGAAACCUGAGCCUGAGAAUUUGCUUAUGGAUUGUAUAUGAUGCCAGGAAAUGGAAUAGAGGACUGGGAAGAGUGAGAGAAGGAAGAGAAGCCAGGAGGAGAGUAUGUUACGAGCUGUGAAUAAUUGGGACUUGAUUCCACUGAGCUCCUUUGAAGUAUCUGAGAAUUUGACUGCAGAAUUGUGAACCUGAAAAUCACAGAAAAGAGAAUAUUUAUCUAUUGAACCUUCUCUUCAUCUUGCAUUGGUCAAGAGUUGUCCUACGGGAUAUUAAGACACUUGCACUUUCAAGUUUGCAGAAGUAUGGGAACGAAAGCAUCCAAAAAGCCCUGAGGCAGGAAGCAAGCUGAGACAAGGUGUUGGUGAUGAUGGUACACCUGGAUGAAGCUAACUUCAGCAGCAAUAGUUGCUGAAUGAAUUUUUCAUUUCAUCUAAGUUGCCACAUUCAUCAGCAUAAAAUUGUUAAUGAUAUUCUUUUAGAACUUGGAGGGUGGUAGGAGAGAGAGGAGCAGAAAAAAAUAACUAUUGGAUAUGAGCCUUAAUACCUGGGUUUUGACAUAAUCUGUACAACAAACCUCCAUGAAACAAGUUUACCUAUAUAACAAACCUUCACAUGCACCCCCAAAUCUAAAAUAAAAGUUGAAGCAACAAAACAAACUAAGAA